CCUACGGGAGGCAGCAGUGGGGAAUAUUGCACAAUGGGGGAAACCCUGAUGCAGCGACGCCGCGUGAGUGAGGAAGGCUUUCGGUAUGUAAAGCUCUAUCAACAGGGAAGUAAAUGACGGUACGUGACUAAGAAGCCCCGGCGAACUUCGUGCCAGCAGCCGCGGUAAUACGUAGGGGGCAAGCGUUAUCCGGAUUUACUGGGUGUAAAGGGAGCGUAGACGGCUUAUCAAGUCAGAAGUGAAAACCCACGGCUCAACCUUGGGACUGCUUUUGAAACUGGGUAGCUAGAGUGCAGGAGAGGUAAGCGGAAUUCCUGGUGUAGCGGUGAAAUGCGUAGAUAUUAGGAGGAACACCAGUGGCGAAGGCGGCUUACUGAACUGUAACUGACAUUGAGGCUCGAAAGCGUGGGGAGCAAACAGGAUUAGAUACCCUAGUAGUC
rnacentral:rRNA from 1 species